rnacentral:rRNA from 1 species
UUCCUACGGGUGGCAGCAGUCGGGAAUUUUGGGCAAUGGGCGAAAGCCUGACCCAGCAACGCCGCGUGAAGGAUGAAGUAUUUCGGUAUGUAAACUUCGAAAGAAUGGGAAGAAUCAAUGACGGUACCAUUUAUAAGGUCCGGCUAACUACGUGCCAGCAGCCGCGGUAAUACGUAGGGACCAAGCGUGGUUCGGAUUUACUGGGCGUAAAGGGCGCGUAGGCGGCAAUUCAAGUCAGCUGUGAAAUCUCUGGGCUUAACCCAGAACGUCCAGCUUAUACUGCUUUGCUUGAGUGCAGAAGGGGCAAUCGGAAUUCUCGGUGUAGCGGUGAAAUGCGUAGAUAUCGAGAGGAACACCUGAGGUGAAGACGGGUUGCUGGGCUGACACUGACGCUGAGGCGCGAAAGCCAGGGGAGCAAACGGGAUUAGAUACCCGUGUAGUCA